rnacentral:rRNA from 1 species
AACGAACGCUGGCGGCAUGCCUAACACAUGCAAGUCGAACGAGACCUUCGGGUCUAGUUGCGCACGGGUGCGUAACGCGUGGUAACCUGCCCUUAGGUUCGGUAUAACUCCCCGAAAGGGGUGCUAAUACCGGAUAAUGUCUUCGGACCAAAGAUUUAUCGCCUUUGGAUGGGCCCGCGUUGGAUUAGCUAGUUGGUAGGGUAAAAGCCUACCAAGGCGACGAUCCAUAGCUGGUCUGAGAGGAUGAUCAGCCACACUGGGACUGAGACACGGCCCAGACUCCUACGGGAGGCAGCAGUGGGGAAUAUUGGACAAUGGGCGAAAGCCUGAUACAGCAAUGCGGCGUGAGUGAUGAAGGCCUUAGGGUUGUAAAGCUCUUUUACCCGGGAUGAUAAUGACAGUACCGGGAGAAUAAGCUCCGGCUAACUACGUG